rnacentral:rRNA from 1 species
AGAGUUUGAUCCUGGCUCAGGACGAUCUCUGGCGGCGUGCCUAACACAUGCAAGUCGAGCGAUGAAAGAGAAGUGGCGGUCUUCGGACCAAAGCAUUUCUGGAUUAGCGGCGGACGGGUGAGUAACACGUGAGCAACCUGCCUAUCACAUCGGGAUAGCCUCGGGAAACUGGGAUUAAUACCGAAUGAAACAUAUUGGUAACCUUAUCGAAAUGUCAAAGAUUUGUCGGUGAUAGAUGGGCUCGCGUCUGAUUAGCUAGUUGGUGAGAUAAAAGCCCACCAAGGCAAUGAUCAGUAGCCGGCCUGAGAGGGUGAUCGGCCACAUUGGGACUGAGACACGGCCCAAACUCCUACGGGAGGCAGCAGUGGGGAAUAUUGCACAAUGGAGGGAACUCUGAUGCAGCGACGCCGCGUGAGCGAAGAAGGAAUUCGUUUCGUAAAGCUCUGUCCUAUGGGAAGAUAAUGACGGUACCUCUCGAACAAGCCCCGGCUAACUACGUGCCAGCAGCCGCGGUAAUACGUAGGGGGCAAGCGUUGUCCGGAAUUACUGGGCGUAAAGCGCGCGUAGGUGGCUUGUUAAGUCAGGUGUCAAAAUGCGGAGCUCAACUCCGCAGCGCACUUGAAACUGGCAGGCUUGAGUGCAGGAGAGGAAAGUGGAAUUCCUAGUGUAGCGGUGAAAUGCGUAGAUAUUAGGAGGAACACCAGUGGCGAAGGCGACUUUCUGGACUGCAACUGACACUGAGGCGCGAAAGCUAGGGGAGCAAACAGGAUUAGAUACCCUGGUAGUCCUAGCCGUAAACGAUGGGUACUAGGUGUGGGGGGUGACAAUCCUCCAGUGCCGCAGUUAACGCAUUAAGUACCCCGCCUGGGGACUACGGCCGCAAGGCUGAAACUCAAAGGAAUUGACGGGGGCCCGCACAAGCAGCGGAGCAUGUGGUUUAAUUCGAUGCAACGCGAAAAACCUUACCAGGGCUUGACAUCCUCUGAAGCUGUAAGAGAUUAUAGUGUCCCUUCGGGGCAGAGAGACAGGUGGUGCAUGGUUGUCGUCAGCUCGUGUCGUGAGAUGUUGGGUUAAGUCCCGCAACGAGCGCAACCCUUAUUCUCAGUUGCCAGCACGCAAAGGUGGGCACUCUGAGGAGACUGCCGGUGACAAACCGGAGGAAGGUGGGGAUGACGUCAAAUCAUCAUGCCCCUUAUGUCCUGGGCUACACACGUGCUACAAUGGCCUGAACAACGGGCGUGCGAAGGAGCGAUCCGGAGCAAAUCCCUUAAAUCAGGUCCCAGUUCGGAUUGCAGGCUGCAACUCGCCUGCAUGAAGCAGGAGUUGCUAGUAAUCGCGGAUCAGCAUGCCGCGGUGAAUGCGUUCCCGGGCCUUGCACUAACCGCCCGUCA